AUGGCAGGCCGCUCGGCGCCUCGGCGCCUCGCUCUCUUCUGCCUCCUGGCGUCGUGCAUUGCGCUCGCGGCGCGCACCUCCGAUGCCAGCCGGCGGGAGCUCGGCAUCAGCAUCGGCAACGGCGGCGGCGGGGGGAUAGGCAUCGGGAUUGGGAUCGGGGGCGGGGGCGGGUACGGAGGCGGCGGGUCUCCGUCACCGACGCCGCCGUCGUCAUACGGGCCGAAGGCGUCCGACUUCGAGAACGAGCGGCUCUACAGGGCGUACCUCGUGAUCCAGAGGUUCAAGCAGACCAUUACGUGCGACCCCCAGGGCAUCACCAAGACCUGGACCGGCACCGCCAUCUGCAGCGACACCUCGUACUUGGGCUUCUUCUGCGAGAAGCCGCCCAACGUCAACGAGCGGGCGCUCGCGUCCGUCGACUUCAACGGCUUCAAGCUGGAGGCCCCCACCGUGGAGGGGUUCGUGGACGCGCUCCCCGACCUGGCGCUCUUCCACGCCAACUCCAACGACUUCGGCGGCGUGGUGCCCAUCCUCCGGUCGCUGCAGUACUUCUACGAGCUGGACGUGAGCAACAACAAGCUCGCUCGCUGCGCCUUCCCGACGGACGUGCUGGGGAUCACCAACGCCACCUUCGUCGACAUCCGGUUCAACCGGUUCUACGGCGAGGUGCCGGCGGGGCUCUUCUGCUCAUUCCCGAUCGUGGAGGCCAUCUUCGUCAACAACAACCAGUUCUCGGGCAAGAUCCCGAGCAACCUCGGCGACUCGCCCGUGAACUACCUCGCGCUCGCCAACAACCAGUUCACGGGGCCCAUCCCGUCGUCCAUCGGCCGCGCCGCCAACACGCUCCUGGAGGUGCUCUUCCUCAACAACAAGCUCAGCGGCUGCCUCCCCUACGAGCUCGGCCUGCUCGCCAAGGCCACCGUCAUCGACGCCGGCACGAACCAGCUCACGGGCACCAUCCCGGCCUCGUACGCGUGCCUGCGGAAGGUGGAGCAGCUCAACCUGGCGGACAAUCUCCUCUACGGCGAGGUGCCCGACGCGCUCUGCCGGCUCGCGUACCCGUCGUCCGGCGGCCACCUCUCCAACCUCACGCUCUCCGACAACUACUUCACGUCGCUGGGGUCGUGCUGCUGGGCCCUGAUCAAGCAGGGGAAGCUCAACGUCGCCCGCAACUGCAUCCCCUAUGCGCCCAACCAGCGGUCGCACGAGGAGUGCGCCGGCUUCUUCCACACGACCAAGACCUACUGCCCCGUCAGCACCUACGUGCCAUGCCACCACCCCAAGGACUACACUGCCGGUAGGGAGGAGGCCUCCGCGGCGGAGGAGUACAAGUACCGGACGUACUCGGCGCUGCACCCGUGA
rnacentral:rRNA from 1 species